GCCAGCCCCUUAACGGGGCGACACUCCACCAUGAUCACUCCCCUGUGAGGAACUACUGUCUUCACGCAGAAAGCGUCUAGCCAUGGCGUUAGUAUGAGUGUCGUGCAGCCUCCAGGCCCCCCCCUCCCGGGAGAGCCAUAGUAGUCUGCGGAACCGGUGAGUACACCGGAAUUGCCAGGACGACCGGGUCCUUUCCAUUGGAUCAAACCCGCUCAAUGCCUGGAGAUUUGGGCGUGCCCCCGCAAGACUGCUAGCCGAGUAGCGUUGGGUUGCGAAAGGCCUUGUGGUACUGCCUGAUAGGGUGCUUGCGAGUGCCCCGGGAGGUCUCGUAGACCGUGCAACAUGAGCACACUUCCUAAACCUCA
rnacentral:other from 12 species